UACGGGGGGAGCAAGCGUUGUUCGGAUUUACUGGGCGUAAAGGGCGCGUAGGCGGCGCAACAAGUCACUUGUGAAAUCUCCGGGCUUAACCCGGAGCGGCCAAGUGAUACUGUCGUGCUAGAGUGCGGAAGGGGCUACUGGAAUUCUCGGUGUAGCGGUGAAAUGCGUAGAUAUCAAGAGGAACACCUGCGGCGAAGGCGGGUUGCUGGGCCGACACUGACGCUGAGGCGCGAAAGCUAGGGGAGCGAACGGG
rnacentral:rRNA from 1 species